rnacentral:sRNA from 1 species
CACAAAUAAAUGAAUACAUAAUAUAGCAUAUUUCCUACAGUAAGUAAUUAAUAGGUAAUAUAUGACAUUCCUCAUUUAGGGACUAGAGAAAAGGCUCAGAGGCUAAGAAUAUGCAUGCACCACCCAUGCAGAGGACCUGAAUUCUGUUCCCAGCACUCAUAUCAGGUGGAUCACAACUGCGUCGAACUCCAGCUCCAGGGGAGCUGAUACCCUCUACUGGCCAAUGUGGCAAAACAUGUGGUGAGGUCACAGAUGGUCAGAGGUCAGCACCACCCAGAGAGAGGCCAGACCUACGGAGUAAUUAAAGCCCCAGCAGUCAGGGGUGAACUGGCAAAGAUGAACUAACCUGAAACCCCUCCUCUGUGGAAGACCAUCUCCCCACCUCUCACCUGAGACGGCAUCAGGCCAUCUCUCCAGAGCUAAGCAAAAUGAAUGUGAAAUUUGAUGACAGACUGAGGAUCAUUGCAGUCCCCAAAGAAGACACAUGAAUGGCCAAAGAUUUGCAUUUCGUCAUUAAGUCUCAGAAGCAGCUUUGCGAAGUCGGCAGCAGGAAGGGAAGGAGAUGUUCUGGAUGGUUCUGUCUCCAAAGGCCCACCAAGGAACAGAAAACAAGGUCUAUCCUAUGUAAGAGAGGGAGCCAGGAUGAGAACCUGCUUCAGCUGGUGUCCUUAGAGGAUCACACCUACAGGGAAAAUGUAAGUUAAGAAACAAAAUGAAACAAAGCUACCUGUCUGCUAGCUCAGCAAGAUAAUAGGAAAGCAGAUUGUCCUCUGCGGGGCCCUUGGUGGACCAGGUGUCUUACACACACAGGUUAGGUUUGAAUCUGUAUAACCCAGAAGGAUGGAGACUCACAAGCCAAAGCUUUCAUAUAAAAAGGGGACCCAGGCUGCUUAUCAGCUUGAUUUACUCCAAAAGUAAAAGUGGUAAUCUUUUGCUGAAGGACUAAUCCAGAAUCUAGGAUGAGAGGAAUCUCACAGAGAUGAGAACACAACCCACCAUGUUCAAGAGAGGGAGAAUGAGAUGACUAGGACCAGGCUGGAAACUGGAGUAUGGGAAGGUAGAGGAGAAUGUGAGCUUGUCUAAAUUUAACAAAGAAUGUACUCAUGAAUGACACAUAUACACAGUUGCUUAUUGCAGUGAUGCAAAGCAAAGCAAACACAAGGGCAACCUGGAUAGAACAACCCAUGCCAUUGUUUGGAGGACUGAUUAAAAAAAACCGAGCAAACCAGUAGUGAAGAAACACCCCAUGUUCACUAAUAUGAAUCUAGGGAUGUCUCAGUAAUUAAAAACAACUUUUCUAUACUUAGCCAUUUGAUUAAAGAAGUGAGCUUAUGUGUGUGAAAACAAUUUAUAUUUUUGUGUAUAGUAAUUGUUGGCAUU